AGGAUGAACGCUGGCGGCGUGCCUAACACAUGCAAGUCGAACGUCCUGUCUCGCAAGAGGCAGGGAGUGGCGGACGGGUGAGUACCACGUGGGUUAUCUACCGUGAGGUGAGGAAUACCGGCGAGAAAUCGCCGACAAGACCGCAUAGCCUCGGUGCAAGCCGAGCAAAGCUCUUUCGAGAGAGGGAGCGCCACACGAGGAGCCUGCGCCCGAUUAGCUAGCUGGUGGAGUAACGGUUCACCAGGGCGACGAUCGGUAGCUGGUCUGAGAGGACGAUCAGCCACACUGGGAUUGAGAACGGCCCAGACUCCUACGGGGGGCAGCAGUGAGGAAUUUUCGUCAAUGGGGCAACCCUGAACGAGCAACGCCGCGUGCAGGAGAAGGUUUUCGGAUCGUAAACUGCUUUUCGUCGGGGAAGAGAACGGACGGUACCCGAGGAAUCAGCCCCGGCUAACUACGCGCCAGCAGCCGCGGUAA
rnacentral:rRNA from 1 species